rnacentral:lncRNA from 1 species
CCUGGCCUUGCUCAGUGGGUUAAGGAUCCGGCAUUGCCGUGAGCUGUGGUGUAGGUUGCAGACACAGCUUGGAUCCCGAGUUGCUGUGGCUCUGGUGUAGGUCGGCAUCUACAGCUCUGAUUAGCCCCCUGGCCUGGGAACCUCCAUAUGCCGCAGGAAGCGGCCCUAGAAAAGGAAAAAAGAAAAAAAAAAAAAAAAUACUGAAGCAGAAGGAGAGUGUCCAGACAAAGGGCAGGGAUGUGCUAGAUAGAUUGUAUGGGAUGGCUAGACUUGGGCAUCGAAGGGACAUCAAUAAGUUAAAAUACUGUAUUCAGGAGGAAUGAGGUCACAGUGGUAGAGGCAGCUGUGAAUCAGGUCCCAAAGGGAAUUAUUGAGCAAAUUUAGCUAACUUCAAAUUUUCGAAAAUUCAGCAUGUAAAACAGAGACUUACUGUCUACCUCACUUUGAAGCGCUAGUGCACGGAAAUUCAUUUGUUCAAUCAUUCAUAAAAUAACAUAAACAAGGUGUGUCUUCCUUAAAAAGGCAUUUCUCCAAGCAAAGAAUUAGAUUGCUUUAAGAAUAAUGAGCUGCUUAUUCUGAAACAUAUUCAAGGAAUCCUUGGCUGAUCAAUUCUCAGAGACACCUGCAUUUUAAGAAGGAAGGAUUAGGAAAAGUCUAAUGAUUUUUAUCAAUUUAUGCUGAUACCAUGCUUAAAAAUACUGCAAAGAUGGAAUUCCCAUUGUGGCUCAGCAGGAACAAACCCUACUAGUAUCUAUGAGGGUGCAGAUUUGAUCCCUGGCCUCGCUCAGUGGGUUAAGGAUGUGGCAUCGCCAUGCGUUCUGUGUUACUGUGGCUUUGGGGUAGGCUGCCAGCUGUAGCUCUGAUUAGAUGCCUAGCCUAGGAACUUCCAUAUGCUGCGGGUGUGGGCCUGACAAAGAAAAUACUGCAAAGGCUCCACAGCAAUGUAAAGGAAGGACAAAUUUCUCCCUGUGAUGUGCAAGGCCCUUCAGGAUGCUGCCCUGACCACUGUUUUCAGUGCCACCUCCAUUAGGCACCUACUUCCCAGCCUCCCUGGUCCAUUUGUCAAAGUACCUUCUCACCACUGUCUUUUCUUUUCUAGAAUGCCCUUUCUGCUUCCUCGACUUAAUGAAAGGCAACUCGUUUUUCAAUUUGGGUCACCAAAUACCACCUUGCUUCGAAAUCUUCCCUCUCUCCCCUUCAGUUGAGAAAGGAGGCUGCCAAGAAGUCAGAACAAUGGAAGCUAAGCAAAGAUACAGAAUCAAUUUCUGAAGACCACGAGGGAAGAAGCUGAUGAAGACUCUAUGUAUAGUUAGAUAAUGGGACGUUUCAUCCCUGGAAAGAUAAUAUUAAUAACUGCUGGAGGAGGGGAGAACUGUGGAGCAAAGAAUCUUGAGGGUGAGCAGUGCUGCUCAAACCACCUGUGGCAAUAGAUCAGUUUUAAAUUUCCAAUCCAGGAGUUCCCGUCGUGGCGCAGUGGUUAACGAAUCCGACUAGGAACCAUGAGGUUGCGGGUUCGGUCCCUGCCCCUGCUCAGUGGGUUAACGAUCUGGCGUUGCCGUGAGCUGUGGUGUAGGUUGCAGACGCGGCUCAGAUCCCGCGUUGCUGUGGCUCUGGCGUAGGCCAGUGGCUACAGCUCCGAUUCGACCCCUAGCCUGGGAACCUCCAUAUGCCACGGGAACGGCCCCCCAAAAUAGCAAAAAGACAAAAAAUAAAAAAUAAAAAUAAAUAAAUAAAUUUCCA